rnacentral:lncRNA from 1 species
GUAUCGUACAUUUGGUCGAUAACCAGCAUUAUCAGCAACGUAAUCAACUAUUUGUGUUCUACCAUCGGGAAGAAGAACGUGAUAUGUACCAGUUGCUUCCUGAUCCUUUCGAUUUUCACGAUGACCAAAAUCUAAACCAGCAACAGCAUCCUGCACUUCGUGUACCAGGAGGACGAGACACGCUGGGAGGAAGAUAAGAAGGUCCUUGAGGUUCACCUCGAAUUCCUAUCAGCAUCAUUGCUAAUAAUAAUACCUAUGAAACAAGGAACAAUUUCAGAAACGUACACACACGAUUAAAUUGACUAAAUUAUUCGCCGAAAAAAGGCACAAUUUAAAAACAACAAAAAAAUGUUUAACACACCGACGUAAGGAAUUGUUUUUUUUUUAUUCGUAAUAAUAUCUACACAAACCUUUCGAAUCAUUGGCAGAUCGUCCUAAUCCUCUAGUGUUCAAAACUAAAAUAACUCGACGUUACAGCAUCGCCGGGUUUUAUACACCACGUUCCUGAUUGCAUCUUUUAAAAGUAGAAAUGGAAGCACGGUUAUUGUGGAAGCUUUAAUGCGAGCGCAUAACCGUAAUUAUAGUUAAUAAUAAAACCGCAGAUUUCUGACCGCAUAG